AUGUUUUAUGACGUAUACCUGUCCUGUACGUGUAAAUCUCCGUUGAUGACGUCACACUGUAUAUCUGCUGGAACAGCCUGCCCCUCCCCUGCCUCGGUUACUUUCUAUAUUGUUAUUGUUUUCGUUCUUUCGCUCUCCCAUGAAAUCGUAACCACGUGUCUUCGGCUGUUAAUUCAGUAUAAUUAUUCGUGUUAUUUGAUUCUACUUGCUUCCAUUUCCAAAUUUGAUCCUUUCCAUGAGCCAGUAAUUUCUCUUGGUGUGCAAUGGUUAUGUUGAAGGUUGAAAAAAAUCAUGCAGACAUGACUCCUACUCCAAAAAAAAAGACAAGAAGUUGAAACUAGUGGGAAAUGACUCAACGCCGAAGGUUGCAAAAGCUGCCAAUGGCGAAGGCCUCCAAAAAAACUCCAUUUUGCCAGCUGUAAAGCCCAAGAAAAGUAAAGAGAGUGCUCCUGCCUCUCCGACCAAGUCAGCUAACGAUGGAAGCGCCUCACCAUCAAAGAAAAAGAAUAAAAAUAAAGGAAAAGAAUUUGGAAAAUACGGCAAAAGAAAUGAGAUGAAAUCCAAGGAUGAUGUUUUUGGAAAGAUGGUCAAAGAGGAGGCUGUGAAAGAACAUUUAUCGCCAAUGUUUUUGAAAAAGUUAGAAAAUGCACCGCUCGGCUGCCGCUUGGAGGAAAAAAAUUUGUU
rnacentral:lncRNA from 1 species